rnacentral:lncRNA from 10 species
GCGUCCCCUUCCACACCGUGGAAGGUUUGUUCUUUCGCUCUUUUCAAUAAAUCUUGCUACCGCUCACUCUUUGGGUCCAGACUGCCUUUAUGAACUGUAACACUCACCUCCAAGGUCUGCAGCUUCACUCCUGAAGCCAGUGAGACCACGAGCCCACCAGGAGGAACGAACAACUCCAGACGCGCCGCCUUAAGAGCUGUAACACUCACUGCUAAGGUCUACAGCUUCAUUCCUGAGCCAGCGAGACCACGAACCCACCAGAAGGAAGAAACUCUGAACACAUCCAAACAUCAGAAGGAAUAAACUCCGGACAUGCCGCCUUUAAGAACUGUAACACUCACCGUGUUAAGAACUGUAACACUCACCGUGAGGGUCUGCGGCAUCAUUCUUGAAAAUCAAGUUAAAGUUUUGUUCUGAAAUUUCAAGGCCUUUCACACCAAUUUGAUACGGUUUGGAUUUGUGUCCCUGCUGGAAUGUAAAGUUGAACUGUAAUCCCGGAUGCUGGAUGAGGGACCUGCUGGGAGGUGAUUGCAUCAUGGGGGCAUAUUUCCCCCUUGCUGUUCUCAUGAUGACACAAAUGAACAGCAGAACUCUUGCUCCCAUGAAUUGGCAAGUAUAGUCAGAAGUCUCCCCACUGUGGAUGGGAGACAGAAAAGAAAGAAAGAGCCUGAAUUACUGAGGGGCCUGAACAGAACAAAAUGUCAGAGGAAAGUUGAAUUCGCUCUCUGCUUGUGAGUGCUUGAACUGGAACAUGGAUUGGCCCUCAGUGCUCCUGUUUCUUAGGCCUUCAAGACUAGAUCAGAAUCUUCACCAUCAGCACUGUUUGUCCUCCUGCUUUCAGGCCUUCAAACC